rnacentral:rRNA from 1 species
UACGUAGGGUGCGAGCGUUGUCCGGAAUUAUUGGGCGUAAAGGGCUCGUAGGCGGUUUGUUGCGUCGGGAGUGAAAACUUACAGCUUAACUGUGAGCGUGCUUCCGAUACGGGCAGACUUGAGGUAUUCAGGGGAGAACGGAAUUCCUGGUGUAGCGGUGAAAUGACGUAGAUAUCUGGAGGAACACCGGUGGCGAAGGCGGCAUCCUGGACCGGCAUUGACGCUGAGGCGCGAAAGCCAGGGGAGCAAACGGGG